AUACGUAGGGGGCUAGCGUUAUCCGGAAUUACUGGGCGUAAAGGGUGCGUAGGUGGUUUCUUAAGUCAGAAGUGAAAGGCUACGGCUCAACCGUAGUAAGCUUUUGAAACUAAGAGACUUGAGUGCAGGAGAGGAGAGUAGAAUUCCUAGUGUAGCGGUGCAAUGCGUAGAUAUUAGGAGGAAUACCAGUUGCGAAGGCGGCUCUCUGGACUGUAACUGACACUGAGGCACGAAAGCGUGGGGAGCAAACAGGAUUAGAUACCCUGGUAGUCCACGCCGUAAACGAUGAGUACUAGCUGUCGGGGGUUACCCCCCUCGGUGGCGCAGCUAACGCAUUAAGUACUCCGCCUGGGAAGUACGCUCGCAAGAGUGAAACUCAAAUGAAUUGACGGGG
rnacentral:rRNA from 1 species